rnacentral:lncRNA from 1 species
AUAUGAAUGGAUUUCUUAACCCAAAACCCAAAGACCCAAAACCCAAAGUUCACAAAUAAAAUUCCAAAAAUUUCAAAGUCCACAAAUAAAAUCCUAAAAAUCCAAAAGUCCACAAAUAAAAUCCCAAAAAUCCCAAAGUCCACAAAUAAAAUCACAAAGAUCCCAAAGUCCACAAAUAAAAUCCCAAAAAUGCCAAAGCCCACAAAUAAAAAUCCAAAACCCAAAGUCCACAAAUAAAAUCCUAAACCCAAAGUUCACAAAUAAACUCCCAAAAAAUCCAAGGUCCACAAAUAAAGAUCCAAAACCCAAAGAUCCAAAAUUCAAAGUCCAUAAAUAAAACCCAAUCAAAUCUACCAAGCCUAUGUCAUCAAAAUACCUCCAACCCAAACUGAAUUCAUGGGCUUUCUAAAUGAGCCCUUUAUUAUGAAUUAAUCCUAUGAAUUAAUUUCCUGGAUUUUCCAAAUGACCACUUAUCAUAAAUUAAUUCUACGAAUUAAUUUCAUGGGUUUGCAAAAAUAGGCCCCCUUAUCAUAAAUUAAUUCUAUGAAUUAAUUUCAUGGGCCCUUCUUAUCAUAAAUUAAUUUCAUGAACUAACGGGCCUUCCAAAUGACUCCUUGUCAAAAAUUAAUUUUAUAAACCCAAUUCAAUGGACUUUCCAAAUGGUCCCUAUCAUGAACUAAUUUCAUCAAUUAAUUCAAUAGACUUUACAAACAGGCUCCCAGCAUGAAUUAAUUUCAUGAAUCAGCUUCAUGAACAUCUCAAUUUCAAACCCAAAUUCAAAUGACUGAAAUGUCGCUAAACUAAACCCAUAUUCAAACGACCGAAACGUCGUAAAACUAAACCCAAAUUCAAACGUCCGAAACGUCGCUAAACUAAAUCCAAACCAAACGACCGAAACGUCGUUAAACUAAACCAAAUGACCGAAACGUCGGUAAACUAAACCAAACGACCGGAACAUUGUUAAACUAAACCCAACGACCGGAACGUCGUUAAACUAAACCCAAUGACCGGAACGUCGUUAAACUAAACCCAGCGACCGAAAUGUCGUUAAAUUAAACCCAACGACUGGAACGUCGGUAAACUAAACCCAACGACCGGAACGUCGGUAAACUAAACCCAACGACCGAAACGUCGUUAAACUAAACCCAACGACCGAAACGUCGUUAAACUAAACCCAACGACCGAAACGUCGUUAAACUAAACCGAACGACCGAAACGUCGUUAAACUAAACCGAACGACCAGAACGUCGUUAAACUAAACCGAACGACCGGAACGUCGUUAAACUAAUCCAAACGACCGAAAUGUCGUUAAACUAAACCCAUAUUCAGACGGCCGAAAUGUCGUUAAACUAAAUCCAAUUCCAAACGAUCGAAACGUCGUUAAACUAAUCCCAAAUCCAAACGACCGAAACGUUGUUAAAUUAAACCCAAAUCCAAAUGACCGAACGUCGUUAAACUAAACCCAAACUCAAACGACCGAAACGUCGUUAAACUAAACCCAAAUUCAAACGACCGAAACGUCGUUAAACUAAACCCAACGACCGAAACGUCGUUAAACUAAACCCAAAUCUAAACGACCAAAAAGUCACUAAACUAAACCCAAAUUCAAACGACCGAAACGUCGUUAAACUAAACCCAACGACCGAAACGUCGUUAAACUAAACCAAACGACCGAAACGUCAUUAAACUAAACCCAACGACCGAAACGUCAUUAAACUAAACCCAACGACCGAAACAUCGGUAAACUAAACCCAACGACCGAAACAUCGUUAAACUAAACCCAAUGCCCGAAACGUCGUUAAACUAAACCCAAAUCCAAACGACCGAAACGUCGCUAAACUAAACCCAUAUUCAGACGACCGAAAAGUCGCUAAACUAAACCCGAAUCCAAACGACCGAAAUGUCGCUAAACUAAACCCAUAUUCAAACGACCGAAAAGUCGCUAAACUAAACCCGAAUCCAAACGACCGAAAUGUCGCUAAACUAAACCCAUAUUCAAACGACCGAAACGUCGUUAAACUAAACCCAAAUUCAAACGACUGAAACGUCGCUAAACUAAACCCAAACCAAACGACUGAAAUGUCGUUAAAAUAAACCCAACGGCCGAAACGUCGGAAAACUAAACCCAACGACCGAAACGUCGUUAAACUAACCCAACGGUCGAAACGUUGUUAAACUAAACCCAACGACUGAAAUGUCGGUAAACUAAACCCAACGACCGAAAUGUCGUUAAACUAAACCAAAUGACCGAAACGUAGGUAAACUAAACCCAACGACCGAAACGUCGUUAAACUAAACCCAACGACCGAAACGUCGGUAAACUAAACCCAACGACCGAAACGUCGUUAAACUAAACCCAACGACCGAAACGUCGGUAAACUAAACCCAACGACCGAAACGUCGUUAAACUAAACCUAAACCUAACGACUGAAACGUCGCUAAGCUAAACCCAAAUUCAAACGACUGAAAAGUCGUUAAACUAAACCCAAAACUUCAAUCGACUACCAAGUUGCUAAAUUGAGUACCUAGUCUUAUAAAAUUUAUGUACAGUGGGGGAAUGCCCCUGCUUAAGCCAUGUACACGGCAGAUCAUAUUAAUGAAAUUUUAUUUGCCUGUUUUGCCUUAUUUAUUAUCAGCAUUUAUAUUUGGUCUCUUAAUCGAGGGUUCCUUAACACCGAAAGUGUUGGGUAAUUAACAGCAGAUUCUUGAAUCUAUUGGAAGCCAUGAACCUAUAAUCCUGAUUUCAAAAUAAAAAUUUAUGUAAACUCAACCCCUACCAUGAAUGACCACUCGCCCUAGAAACACCCUACGGCGAGGCCGGUUCGUUCGCGGCAGACAAAAUGACACGCCCGGUGGAACAUGGCUUCACCCUCCAUCUUUGAGACCUAAUUAAUAAAUACUGAUAAAAGACCAAAAUUUAUUUAUGUGCACGACUGACAUCUGUUGUCUUGUAUAUGCAGAGCAAUGGCAUCAAACAACACCAUGGUCAAUACAGCGCAAAUUCGCUUUCCUGCUUCUAUGAUGAAGAUAGAGGCUGCCGGUCUCACCAUCCAGUUCGGCACCAUCACUGAGGACAUCCUAGCUACUGUCAUGCCCCAACCAGCCACUCAAAUUGGUAGGGGCAGGACUUCGAUAGACUAAGCUAAUCCAGUUCCUAACAGCCGCGUGAUUUCUCGCCGUCCAUCACGUGGGAGGCGCCCGAAUGUCAUUACCCCGAAUCCUCCUCGUAGGCCCGCUAAGGAGCGACUAGCUGUUCCCUCUGCCACAACAAGAAUGGUGAUGGUGGGUCGACUCAAAUUUUCGGAUGGCCAGCUUGCAAGGACAUCUGUUUUCAAAAGAUUGGCCCCAAUCAAUUCUGAAACCAUUGAUCUGAAAGCUCCAAGAAAAUCAGUUUUCGAUAGACUGACGACCUCUACGGGUGUAGUUGCCGAGAUGACACUUCAUCCAAAAUCCAAAUCUUUUAAGAGAAACGCCCGACGUUCCUUAAAGAGAAGAUAAGAAAGAGAAGACAAGGGGACUGAAGCAUUACCGCUGACCAAAGUUGUAGUCGAACCGGUAGGUCUCAUGUACAAUAAGUUCACCCCACUUUAGUCUGUCAGGAAGAAUUCAUCCACUGUUGUCCUUCGUCCUGAGAAGGAAAUGGACCACCCACGGCCUGUCGACAAGGCCUUGACUAGAGAAACAACUAUAUUUCAACGCAUUUACGAGGCCUUGAAAGAGGUCAAAAGGCGUCGUAUGGGCGAGAACAUAUCUGCAAUCAGGGGGCAAAAGCAACCAUUGCAGGCGAACAAGAAAAUCGCGAAGCGGUGGAGGGUAAAGAAUACUGUUAAAUCACUCAAUGAUCAGGAGAAACAAAUAAAAAACUCCAAAAGAUCGACUGUUCACACGGUGAGGAUGGUCAAUCAUACAGAAGGAGAUAGUGAUGAUGACAAUCCAACGCUAAGGGAGAUAGCUAUACGAGCUGCCCUCCUGCUCAAAGGGAAGAAGGCUCCUAAAACAGGAAGAUGUGAUUCCUCUCAAGAGAUAACAGAACAUCCCAACACUGACUUACCUCAGCACCCUAAUAUUGACUUACCUCUAGACCCGUUUAACAUGGAGGAGAAUGAAGAGGAGCCCGCUUUUCUUCCCUCGGAUCCUAAAGAUCUCCUAAUCGAUUCAAUGAAAAAGAAACUGGAGGAAAGUGAUAAAGAUAUAUCAAACCUGAAUAGAAAGUUAGACGAGGUAUUGAAAAUGGUCAUCAACAUGCAGACACACAUGGGAGUGCAACUGCGUAAUCCUGAAGUUCAAGUUAUACCGCCAACUUUGAACUUAUCCACACCAUCCACCGAAGAAAAUCAAACAAAUCAGUUGACUGCAACAGCUCGCAUCCAGAAAGAUACUCAUGAUCUGACUAGAAAUGAAAUAUCAGAACUCAUUGCCAUUCCACUGAAAGCACAAAUUUCGACGAGUUUUUAUCCUUCUAGAUCUCGGAGGGAAGAUGAAAAGGAAGCUGAAGCCAAAACCACUCAUCCGAUAACCGCCUACGCUAACAAUAUUGAAAAAGAGAAGAAGCCUAAUACCUCAGUUGGGCCAACGUCUAAGCCAAUGUUGAGCGGUGGUACCUAUAGGAUGACCAUAGAGGAGAGAAAGAAUAAAGUCUACUCCUUUAAAAGAGACAAAGUGAAGAAAAUACUCAAUGAUGCUAUCAAAAGUGGUCUGCAGUUACCAAAGCCGAAGAGACCAAAAGAUGUCGGUAAAAUCGAUUACUCAAAUUAUUGUCUCUAUCAUAGAAUAGUUAGUCACCGUAUUGAAGACUGUUGGGUGUUUAAAGAUUGGGUUGAGAAACAAUAUAAAACCGGUGCCAUCACCCUCUCUCAUUCAGUCUUGACAGAUCCACAAGUGGCGGAAACUAAUGCAAUUAGUGCAGGAACUGAAGAAACGAUGGGGCUCGACAACCCUCUUCCUCCAGAAUUUUGGAACACUUCUGUAACUAAGGAGACUCGAAAAAUAGAGCAAAGAGAAGCACAACUUCGAUUUUCUCCGAGCCAUCAGGAGUGGGGACAUAAUAUAGAACAAUAUACAAAGAGAAAUCAAAUGUAACCCUCAACUAGUAAAGGCUCCAAGAAGAAUCAAGCUACAAGGAACACAAGAUCCCUGAGAACAUAUCUAUCAUAUGAUGAGAAUGAGUCUAUCAUCUGCAGCUUCUGUGGAACUAAUGGCCACUCUUAUAGAAGUUGUCAACGUUUAAAAAAUCUCGAAGAAAAAAACUCUCAACGGGGAGUCUUGUAGAGUGAUCACAAUUUUCGAAGAUCACUCUGAAGAAUCUGUUAAUAAACGGGGAUGAAAGAGUAAACAACUAGCAAUAGUGAACGAAGAGGCUGACAGUGCAUGGCUGGCAUACGAAUCUCCUUCCCAAAAUCAAAAAUUAAAAAGAAUGAAAACUAGUAUCGUGGAGGUAGGAAACGAUGUGAAAAGACUGCAUCUAGACGUCCAUUCUUUAAAGUUAAAUCUAGACUAUGUUGCUACGACAGUAGAAAAUAUAAGCUCUCAGACGAGGACGAUAAUAGGUAUGCUUCACUCCCAUGAAGGCGAGGGCUCAAAGAAAAUUCAGAGUGAGGUUUUCAGGGCAGUCGAUGUUAGUACUGAUUCAAAAAAUGAUGAAGGAGAUACCCCGCAAAUAAAAUUAAGGUCUGGAAGAGUACUACCACAAAGACAAGGUCCAGUUCAGAAGAAGAAUGAUCGAUGCCACCGAUCAAUGGAUGAUUUUUGAAAAAAAAUACUAUUCGUAAAAAAAAAAAAAGAAAAAGAAAGAAAAGAAAAGAAAAAAUCCGGCUGUGAAUAAAUUUCUCAGGCAAAAAAAAAAAAAAAAAAAAAGAAUCCCCGCUGUGAGAAAAUCAUCUGCAUUUGGCUCCCAGGCAAAAGUUAAGGAAAAGGUCUCUAGCGAAGAACCUCAUGGGCGCUAGUUUUCAAUAAACCUGAAAUUCACACAUUUUUCUGCCUACGAUGGAAUGCUAACUCACCCUUUGGGAUCGGUUAUGCGCAGCAAUCUCAAUACCGAGUUGCUUUCGGAGGCCAAACAAAUCAAACAAAACACAUUUCUCGAGAAAUGAGGAAAUGCUAACUUAUCUUUCAAAACUGAAUAAAAAUAAGGGGGCAGAGAAGAGUAUGAAAGGCAGAAAGUUACUACUGUCUUGAGAUAGAAUCAUAAAUAAAGGAGAGUUCUAGUUCUUAAAAAAAAAAAAAAGGGUCCUGCACAAAAAUGGAGGCUCAUAAAUCAAACUCCUUGCAAUGAUGUUCAAAAUCCUUUAUGAGAUUAGAAAGGUGAUUGAAUUCCACCGUCAUGCUAUGACUACCUUCAGUCGCUCAAAAUUCUUCAAUUGCUCCUUCCAUCAUUGCCACUGCUUUAUCCUUGCCCGAGUCAAGCCGAAAAAUGCAUUCGUUUAUAGUGUUGACCUCGUCGUUCAGUUUCGCUUCCUUUGCUCGCGCUGCGGUGAGAGUCCUCUCUAAAUCCUCAACCUUUUGGCGUUGCUUAUCAAGUGAGGUCAAAGCUUUUUCCUUAAUUUGGGUCAGAGAACUCCUCUUAGAGUCAUAAUCUUUGAGCUCCUUAGUGAUUUGACGCAUGUGCUCCUUAGCCUCCAAGAUACGAGCUGACGAAGAAUAAGAGGGAUGAGCUGCAACCUCUCGAAUAGCUUCUGCUUCCCUGAAUAACUUCUGGAGACGCGUAUUCAAGCCAGAGAUGUCGACCCCUAUACGGGAUAGAAUCUCACAAUACUCGGUAAUUUUUACUUGGAUGAUGGGAUAAGUGUGAUAACUGGAGGUCCUCACUAUCUCGAUCAAAUGGUCUAUCAAGGUGGGUCUACUUUCCUGUCCAAUGCCAUGGUCGGAAGAUAUUGGAUGACCUGUGCCACCACCUUCUUUCAAAAACAUGUUCUUCGACGAAACGCCCACAGCCGCAAUAGGAUCAUCUCCGUUUACAGACUUAAUCUCCAAAUCUCUUGUUGUAGCUGUAUCAUCAACAUUAACCUUGGACUCAUCUCCUAUUAGAGUGUGCGCGGAAACUGCUAUAUUUGUAUCUGAGACAUCUUCGUCGACCACCCACUAAAAAGGGGAAAAUGAGAGCAAAUCAGUCAUCAUUAUACUAGAAGCACAUGAGUGGUCUUCAUAUACAGGUCUUAUGAGAUUACCGUAUCUUGAGGCAAGUCCGAAUUAUCCUUACCAACCAAUAGAGUCGGUUCGUAGUCGACUUCAGGGUUAUAUCGAGAAUGAAUACUGUCUUCGAUCUCUGCAAACAAAAAAAUGGGUAGUUAGGAGACCUGCCCAUACUUCAAGAUAUUCAAAAAAAGAAAAAAGAAAAAAAAAGGAGGCACCUCAUGGGGAAGCGAUGCCCUGAAGAUCCGCCACAAUAGACCUUGCAUCAAUUAAGAGAUUAUGGUUACGACCUACAUGAGCAAACAUAAGUGAAUUAGUAAGAAAAAAAAAGAGAGAAAAAAAAAACGGAGAAGAAAGGCUCACCACCCUCUUCAAAAGAAGCAAAAGCUAGAGGAGGCUCUACUUCAUUGCCAAUCAUGGGAGAAUAAGUAUUCUCGUUAAGAUGGUCUGUAAAAAAAAAAAAGAAGGGAAUAAUAAAAAAAAAAAAAGAAAGAAAAAGAAGAAAAAAAAGAGAGAAAUAAGAUUGGAUACCUCCAGAGGGUGUUGGUGAUGGCAGUUUCUCCUUAGGAAUCCACUUUGUAUGAAUUGAGAUGCUUAAAAAAAAAAAAAGAAAAAAAAAGAAAAAAAAAGAGAGAUAUAAAUAAAUAAGAGAAAAGAGGAAGAAGAAAGGACAAUGCAUAUAAGUGCUUACCUUUUUCUCUUGUAACGCUCGUCGUGGCCAUUGAUGCAUCAACACAGGGUCUUUUCAGGUAUCUGCGGCUCGAGUCUUCGGGAAGCCCUCGUUUUGCAACGGUCUGAUCGUUUACUAUAUUGGGUCGAAUCGAUUAUGCACAAGCAAAGAUGAAUUAGGGACGUCCGGAAUCUCGUGCGUCUGCUGAAGAGAAAGAUGAGCAGAUUCUACCAAGAGAUUUUGCUUAGCUGUAUGAGCAAACGGACUUAUAUCAUGAACACCACGUUGAGACUCCACAGGCAAAGACCUAGGAACCGAUUUUGUAAUACACUAAACUUUUGCAAACUGUGAAGUUCGAGUGUGUGGAAGGAUAUGUAGACCUAUCCCACAUGUUUUAAUGGGCUUGGGCAAGUUUUUGUAUAAGUUUAAGAGUGAUCGGAUUGUCGGAGACGAGAAAGUGCAUUGUAAUUUCGAAAUCAGCAUUUUUCUGCAUUGUGUACCAGUACAGCCAUCACCCUGUACCGGUACAGCAAGCAGCAGCAGCUGCAGCUGCGUGGCAGCAUGGAUAUUUUGGUCAUUUCACUUCAUUUAUCCAUCCUUAUCUCUCCCAGCUCGACCCUGAGGAUGCUUAUAACCUGUAAGCUCAGGGGAAAUAGGGUUUUAGCUCUCCACUUCUUUCUCUCUCUAGAAUUUUCUCCCUCGACAUAAAAGUCGCCUUUUUGCGCCGUUUCCGCGUCGCAUUCGUUGCUCGCUGAUUGGAGGGCUCAAGGAAAGUUGUUGGCACGUGGAGAGGAGUUUUGCUGUGUUGCUGUGAGAUUACUACCAGAAGAAGCUAAAUCCCAGCUUUAGAGAGGUAAUCGACUCGAUUUCUCUCUAGUUUACGGUUUAGUAUUGAAUUUGGGCGCCUUUUAGUUCUGUUGCUUCCAACUGAGUUAGAGGUUGUUUACAGCAGUAAAGAGAGGUUAUUUUGAUUGUGAAUUACCUACUUUAGCUCAGAGAAAAGUUGUUUUAAAACUUGAUGAAGAUAAAUAGUGAGUUAUGACUCUAAUUCGAAGCUAUAUGCGGAUUAAUGGAGCGAAUUAAUGCAGUUUGGAUUUGUUCCUUCGCAGUAGGUUUUUGAACCACUUGGGACUAAUUUGGUGACCCGGGAGACUAGUUUGGAAGGUGUUCCAACUGAGGGUAAGCUGAAAUUUCUGUGAGAAAACUGAAUUUACAAGAUUCCGACUAUAUCUAUUAGUAUCUAGCGAUUUUGAUGCCGUUUCGACGUUGUUCGCAGCGAGAGUGCGAUCGACUCUUGGAGUGACUUUAGCUGACUUGUGAGAACUCUUGAAGACUCAACUUGAGGUAAUGAACUGAACCAAAUCAAGUAAUUAAGCUUCCACCUUGUAUCUAUUAAGAAUUUUGCCGAAAUUGGAAUUGUAAGUAAUCGGCUCGGCGCGGUUUUGUUACCUUGUUUUCAGCAGGAUUGGGACCUCGUUGAGCUGAUUAUUGGGACAUCUUGUGACUGAUUUGAGCUUAGUACGAGGUGGGUUUGACCUAACCAGAGCAAGUGGAGCUUCCCUAUGUUCUAUAUGUGCUAUAGAUUUAAUACAGUUAUAUGAUUCCGUGAUUAAUAUAGAACUUGAGACGAGUUACUAGAUUUUAGUGUUGAUCUAUAUAAUUGAAUUGAUAUCUCUAUGAAGUAGAGAACACUCAUGCAUAUAAGUCUUUAUAUACAUGUUUAAUUUGGUUGAGUGAUUAAUGGACAAGUUAUCAUGUUUCUAGAAAAUAGAAAACCGUGACAUCCUUAUGACACUUUCUUGACUCUAACGUAGAGAAUGACGACAUGCUUAUGCUUAUGCUUAUACUGCCAGAUGUAAAGUAGCAUUACUCUUGCAUGUUUAUUAAUCUAGUGGAUACUAGCUGUUAUCAAUACUUGUUAUAUUGAGAUUCCGAUCUAAGGAUCGAGAGCAAGAACAAUGUCAGUUGGAAAGUGAUGAGUGAGACGUAUUGAGCUUUAGAUUUGCUUGCUGCCAUUGUGCUCAUUCGCACACGCUUGUGAGGGUCGCUCCCUACAAGCCGGCACUCCGGAGUUGGCCUACGCGACAGUUGCUCGCCCGUGCGGGAUUGGGUGCCGAAGUGGAUUGCCGUGGGGAGUGUAUACUACCACGGGGCCAUUAGGCGCGGCGCAAGCUGGACUACCUUGGGUAGGUCCCUGUGAAUGAAAGGACAGUAAUGAAUGCUUAUUAAUUGAAGUGUACAGUAGUCACUUACAUGUUCGUGCUUAUAUUCAUGUCUAUAUUCAUGAUUAUAGAGAUUGCCAUAUCCCUAUUAUGCAAAUGAUUCAUUACUGUAGAAAGCUAUUACAUGUUAAUUACAUGCUUAUUACUUAUUAGCAUCAUGCUUAUUAAUUAUGCAAUUAUCGUUAUUGCUUUCAAUUAGUACAUCAUGAGCCUAGUGGUGUAAUUCGCCGAGGCUGGCGGCUUACCCACUGGGAACUAUUGUUAAUAGUUCUCACGCCCUUUUGGUGGUUGUUUUUACAGAGCCAUCUACAGGAGAGGCUAGGGAUCGUGGCAAGGGAGUCGCGUCUAGCUAGACAUUGCUAGGAGCAUGCUAGUCGAUCACCUUGCUACUCGGGCUACGGCCGAGGGUGAUGUCCCUAUGUAUAGAGAGACCACCGUUGUACCUAUUCUUUUGUUUACCCCGUGAUGUAUAUGUACUUUUGGACCGUCACUAUAGUUGUGAUACUUCUCUUCUGUCGAGAUUUUGGGAUUGUACACUCUUUGUUCUUUUGUUGAUAUAUAUCGACUUGUACAUUGCUCUGAUAUCAGGAUAGGACUUUCUUUGUUUUACUUCCUAUCGACUUGCUUUCUUCGUAGACGCCUUAUAUACUGCAGGUGUAUGGCGGGUCUGUGCACGUACCGGAUAUGCUUCCGCUGGUACCCGGGCGUGACAGAUUAUAGUGGUAUCAGAGCCUAGGGUUGAGUCUUAGUAGACCUCGUAAACCUUAGGCUGGUUGGACUAUAAGAAUAGGCUCGUGAGAGACAAGGUCUAGUCGAGGUUGUUGUUAGCAAAAGUAUUUUGAUUGGGUACUUAUAAACUCCGAAUGGUAGGAGUUUGAUCGGAAUGUGCACUUACUAACUUUGCAGAGAGCCACGUUGGCGGCCGACAACGUGACAUCGGAAGUUAGUACGCGUUAUAUUUCAUUACUUUCGCUUAAUUAGUUGGUUUAUACCUGAAGUGAAGGUUCAAUAGUAUAGGUUUUAUUAAUCUAUAGUUGUUUUUGUGCUACAGCUCAAGAUGCCUUUGACACGUUCGCAAGCCGCCGGGGCAGCUGAGGCGGCGGAUGCGGAAGAAGUGGGCACCUCCGUUACUUCUGGAUUUAGUGGGAUCCAUGAGUUGCAGGAUCAGCUCGCGAAGCUGACAGAUUUGGUUGCUCAGCAGGCUGCGACCGCGCAACAGCAGAUGGAUGCUGCGCGUCGGCAAGAGGAUAGGAUGAAGAGGUUAGAGGAUUUACUACUGCGGCAGACGACUGACAGGAAAAUUCCUGAUUCUAUACCUACAGUACCAGACAGGGAUGCGACAGUAAGAGCACAGUCACCUGUACUUGACAUACCCCCAGUAGCUCCGAGGGCGGAGACCCGACAGGAGACAGUAGUACCACACCCAGUAUCUGUAGCGGCAUCAGGGACAAUGUUACCAGAGAUGGUGGGGGCUGAGGAGCGAGAGCGGAUGAUGGAACAAUUGAAUGAAUUUCGUCGCUGCACCCCUCGUAUCUUUGACGGGGAGAAAGCAGAUCACUGGGUGGUCGAGAAAUGGCUAAUGUACAUAGAGAAGCUAUUCUAUGAUACAUUCGUCGAUGAGCGAUAUCGAGUUUGGUUUGCGACGCACCACCUUGACGGCGAGGCUUACAGGUGGUGGGUGGACAUUCGUGAGGAUCCCCGUACUGAUUUGUCUGCUAUCACGUGGAACAGGUUCAAGGAAUUAUUAUUGACAACCUAUUUUCCGCAGAGUGUAAAGAGGCAAAUGGAAAGGGAUUUGAGAAAUCUGAGGCAGGGGGACAGGACAGUAGCUGAGUAUGAACGAGAGUUUUUCCGUUUACUGCACUGUGUUCCUUUUGUGGUCAGAGAUGAUGAGGACAAGGCUCGGAUUUUCGAGGUAGGUUUGCGGCCUGCGAUUUUCAGAUUGGUCCAGGCGUCAAACCUUUCCACUUACAGGGAAGUAGUGAACCGAGUUUUGAUUGUGGAGAAGGGGGCAGAAAUUAUGAAGGAAAGAGAUGUUGUAGAUCGAAGUAAAGGAAAAGGGCCAGCAGCUGAGAGCAGUGGUCAGCAACCCUUCAGGAGACCGCCAAAGUAUCCGAGGGGCCAGUCAGGUCAGUCGAGGGGUCGAGGUUCUUCAGCGCCCCGUGGAGCACCCGCGCGUCGUCGGCAGCCACGUUGUGUCAUUUGUGGUGGGCCUGAUUUUCCACCACAGUGUCCACAACGUGGGGGCAGGUGUUUUCUCUGUGGUCAGGAGGGCCACUUUCGCUCAGAGUGCCCGAGAGGUUCUUCACCUGCACCCUCAUCAGCAUCAGCACCUGCAUCUUCAGCUCCGAGCCAGGGGACCCCGUCAGUACCCUCUCAGUAUAGACGAUUAACGGGACAGCGGCCGUCUGAGAGUUCUCGGCAGGGUUCGAGUGGGCGUAUGUAUGCCGCCCAGACUGAGGAGGUCGCAACAGCAGAGGAGGUCGUAGCAGGUAUUAUUAUGCUUUAUGAUAUUCGUGUUCGUGCAUUAUUUGAUACUGGUGCUUCGCAUUCUUUUAUUGAUCGGCAGUUCGCCGAGUUGCAUAGCAUUCAAGUAGUACCUACUUUGCAUCUGGGACAAGUGAUCGUACCCGACUAUACCCUAGAUGUUCGUGAGUUUUGCCCUCACUGCCCUGUUCGGGUAGGCGACUAGAUUAUGCCAGUGGAUCUUUUGGCACUACACAAACUGGGGGAGUUUGAUGUAGUAUUGGGUAUGGAUUCGUUGACUCAGUAUUAUGCCACUAUUGAUUGCACGAACAGAACGGUGACUUUUAGGGAACCGGGUCAGCAAGAGUUUGUUUAUAAGGGGUGUCAGAGUUCAUUGUUCGCAAUGACUAUUAGCUCUUCGCGAGCCCGACAGUUGAUAAGGAGAGGUUGUGUAGCCUAUUUGGCUAGCAUUUCAGUGAGUGACGGAGGAGCCGUCAAGAUUGAAGAUAUUCCGGUGGUGCGGGAGUUCGGGGAUGUGUUUCCAGCUGAGUUGCCGGGUAUGCCACCUGAUAGGGAAGUUGAGUUUGUGAUUGAUCUUGUCCCUGGGACAACUCCUAUCUCGAAAACGCCCUAUAGGAUGGCACCCGCUGAGUUGAAAGAGAUGAAGGCACAGUUACAAGAUCUUUUAGAUAAAGGAUUCAUUCGACCGAGUGUGUCACCUCGGGGAGCACCGAUGUUAUUUGUCAAGAAGAAGGAUGGAUCUCUUCGAUUGUGUGUGGAUUACCGAGAAAUCAACAAAGUCACAAUCAAGAAUAAAUAUCCAUUGCCCCGAAUUGAUGAUUUAUUUGAUCAGCUACAAGGAUCAAAAGUAUAUUCGAAGAUUGAUUUGAAGUCAGGUUAUCAUCAGUUUAAGAUCAAGCCUGAAGAGAUUUCCAAAAUCGCUUUUAGAACACGGUAUGGGCAUUAUGAAUUCACAGUUAUACCAUUUGGAUUAACAAAUGCCCCAACUGCCUUUAUGAAUUUAAUGAACCGUAUCUUUAAGCCGUAUCUGGACAGGUUUGUGGUCGUGUUCAUUGACGAUAUUUUGAUAUAUUCUCGAAGUGAUGAGGAGCAUGAAAACCAUUUAAAAGUGGUGUUACAAGUACUUCGAGAAAAGAAACUAUUUGCAAAGUUAAAGAAAUGCGAGUUUUGGCUUCAAGAAGUAGCAUUUCUGGGUCACGUCAUUUCAGAGGUUGGGAUAGCUGUGGAUCCAAAGAAGGUUGAAGCGAUUAAAGAUUGGCCUAGGCCGACUAAUGUCACCGAGAUUCGGAGUUUCCUUAGUUUGGCGGGAUACUAUCGAAGAUUUGUAGAAGGAUUUGCAAAGAUGUCUACGCCGCUCACUCGACUAACACAUAAAGGGGCUAAGUUUCUAUGGAAUGAAGCUUGCGAAAGAAGCUUUCAAGAGCUGAAGGAACGAUUGACCACCGCCCCGAUCCUGGCAUUACCUGUUACUGGAGUAGAUUAUGUGAUUUACAGCGAUGCGUCGUUGAAUGGAUUAGGGUGUGUUCUAAUGCAAAAUGGCAGAGUAAUUGCUUAUGCAUCUCGCCAAUUAAAGGAUUAUGAAAGGAACUACCCUACGCAUGAUCUAGAGCUGGCUGCUGUAGUUUUGCCUUAAAGCUUUGGCGUUACUACCUCUACGGUGAGCGUUGCGAAGUCUACACUGAUCAUAAAAGCUUAAAGUAUCUGUUUACGCAGAAGGAAUUAAACUUGAGACAACGUAGAUGGUUGGAGUUGCUCAAGGACUAUGAUUUGACUAUCCUUUAUCAUCCAGGAAAAGCUAAUGUUGUAGCAGAUGCUUUAAGUCGAAAAUCGACAGAAAAUUUGGCGAUGUCGAUAACUAUGCAACCCCUGUUGGUAAAAGAAAUGGAGCAGUUGUGUUUGAAAGUUGUAGCUCCUGAUACACCUUGGAGACUUAUGUCAUUGGUGAUGCAACCUACCCUGAUCGAUCGAAUUAAAGAAAAACAAGCUCAAGAUGAGUCCCUACAAAAGAUUCGAGUAAAGAUCACUGUUGAUCCUAUUGGCGACUUUCGAGUAGAUAAUCAGGGAUUGCUAAAAUUCGGUGAUAGAAUUUAUGUGCCUGCCGAUCCAGAUACUAAAGAGGAGAUUUUAAAGGAAGCACAUCGGACACCGUAUACUUUACACCCUGGGAGUAUAAAAAUGUAUAAAGAUCUGAAAUCAACUUACUGGUGGCCUGGAAUGAAAAAGGAAGUUGCUGAUUUUGUGGCCAGAUGCUUAACCUGUCAGCAGGUUAAGGCUGAACAUCAACUUCCUGCGGGGAAACUACAAAGUUUACCCAUACCAGUGUGGAAGUGGGAGAGGAUUACUAUGAAUUUUAUUAUUGGAUUAUCUCGCUCACAGGCAGGUCAUGAUGCAAUCUGGGUAAUUGUGGAUAGAUUAACUAAAUCUGCCAACUUCAUUCCAAUUCAUGCGGUGUGGUCGGGGGAAAGACUCGCACAAGUGUAUCUUGAUGAAAUUGUGCGAUUACACGGAGUACCUGUUUCUAUUGUUUCAGAUCGAGACACCCGAUUCGUUUCACAUUUCUGGAAAAGUUUACAAGAGGCCAUGGGUACUCGAUUGGAUUUUAGUACUGCUUUCCACCCCCAGAGUGAUGGGCAGUCUGAGCGUACCAUCCAGACCCUUGAGGAUAUGUUGAGGGCCUGUGUGAUUGAUUACCAGGGCAGUUGGCCACAGUUCUUGCCUAUGGCUGAAUUUGCUUAUAACAACAGUUAUCAAGCAAGCAUUCAGAUGGCACAUUUUGAAACCCUUUAUGGUAGAAAGUGCAGAUCACCAAUUCAUUGGAGUAAAGUGGGUGAAAGAUUAGUCUUGGGUCCAGAUGUGUUACAAGAAGUCGAAGCUAAAGUUCGACUUGCACGGGAACGUUUACUGACCGCCCAAAGUCGACAAAAAAGCUAUGCGGAUAAACGUUGGCGAAAAUUGGAAUUUCAAGUUGGCGAUUAUGUAUUUCUGAAGGUUUCACCGUCAAAAGGAGUUAAAAGAUUUGGAAUUCGAGGAAAGCUGAGUCCUCGAUAUAUAGGACCCUACGAAGUGUUGGAACGGAUCGGCCCCGUAGCAUAUCAGCUUGCUUUGCCGCUGAGCCUAUCAGGAGUACACGAUGUGUUUCAUGUAUCGGCACUUCGAAAGUAUAUUUUUGAUCCAACCCACAUAUUGGAAAGUACUCCAGUGGAUUUACGAGAAGAUUUGAGCUUUGAGGAGCGUCCAGUGAAAAUACUAGCUCGAGAGGUGAAACGGCUUCGAAACCGCGAAUUACCGUAUGUAAAGAUACUCUGGAGCAAUCAUGAUGAGCGAGAAGCCACUUGAAAAUUGGAGAGUGCGAUGUUAGAGCACUACCCUUAUCUUUUCUCGACGGAAUCUUGAGGUAAGUGGUCACAAGUUUCGCGGACGAAACUUUUUUUUUAGGAGGGGUGAAUGUAAUACACUAAACUUUUGCAAACUGUGAAGUUCGAGUGUGUGGAAGGAUAUGUAGACCUAUCCCACAUGUUUUAAUGGGCUUGGGCAAGUUUUUGUAUAAGUUUAAGAGUGAUCGGAUUGUCGGAGACGAGAAAGUGCAUUGUAAUUUCGAAAUCAGCAUUUUUCUGCAUUGUGUACCAGUACAGCCAUCACCCUGUACCGGUACAGCAAGCAGCAGCAGCUGCAGCUGCGUGGCAGCAUGGAUAUUUUGGUCAUUUCACUUCAUUUAUCCAUCCUUAUCUCUCCCAGCUCGACCCUGAGGAUGCUUAUCACCUGUAAGCUUGAGGGAAAGAGGGUUUUAGCUCUCCACUUCUUUCUCUCUCUAGAAUUUUCUCCCUCGACAUAAAAGUCGUCGUUUUGCGCCGUUUCCGCGUCGCGCUCGUUGCUCGCUGAUUGGAGGGCUCAAGGAAAGUUGUUGGAACGUGGGGAGAAGGAGUUUUGCUGUGUUGCUGUGAGAUUACUACCAGAAGAAGCUAAAUCCUAGCUUUAGAGAGGUAAUCGACUCGAUUUCUCUCUAGUUUACGGUUUAGUAUUGAAUUUAGGCGCCUUUUAGUUCUGUUGCUUCCAACUGAGUUAGAGGUUGUUUACAGCAGUAAAGAGAGGUUAUUUUGAUUGUGAAUUACCUACUUUAGCUCAGAGAAAAGUUGUUUUAAAACUUGAUGAAGAUAAAUAGUGAGUUAUGACUCUAAUUCGAAGCUAUAUGCGGAUUAAUGGAGCGAAUUGAUGCAGUUUGGAUUUGUUCCUUCACAGCAGGUUUUCGAACCACUUGGGACUAAUUUGGUGACCCGGGAGACUAGUUUGGAAGGUGUUCCAANUCAAGAAUUAAAAAGAAUGAAAACUCGUAUCCUGAAGGUAGGAAACGAUGUGAAAAGACUGCAUCUAGACGUUCAUUCUUUAAAGUUAAAUCUAGAUGUGUUGCUACGACAGUGGAAAAUAUAAGCUCUCAGACAAGGACGAUAAUAGGUAUGCUUCACUCCUAUGAAGGCGAGGGCUCAAAGAAAAUUCAGAGUGAGAUUUUCAGGGCAGUCGAUGUUAGUACUGAUUCGAAAAAUGAUGAAGGAGAUACCCUGCAAAUAAAAUUAAGGUCUGGAAGAGUACUACCACAAAGACAAGGUCCAGUUCAGAAGAAUAAUGACCGAUGCCACCGAUCAACGAAUGAUUUUUUUUUUAAAAAUACUAUUCAUAAAAAAAAGAAAAAAAAGAAAAAAAGAAAAAAAAAGAAAAAAAGAAAAAAAUAUAAAAAAAUGGAAAAAAAGAAAAAAAAGAAAUAAUAAAGAAAAAAAAUACAUGGUGUUGAGAGUGGGAUCCCCGCUGUGAGAAAAUCAUCUGCAUUUGUCUCACAGGCAAAAGUUAAGGAAAAGGUCUCUAGCGAAGAACUUCAUGGGCGCUAGUUUCCAAUAAACAUGAAAUUCACACAUUUUCCUGCUGACGAUGGAAUGCUAACUCACCCUUUGGGAUUGGUUACGUGCAGCAAUCUCAAUACCGAGUUGCUUCCGGAGGCCAAACAAAUCAAACAAAAUACAUUUCUCGAGAAAUGAGGAAAUGCUAACUUACCUUUCAAAAUUGAAUAAAAAUAAAGGGGCAGAGAAGAGUAUGAAAGGCAGAAAGUUACUAUUGUCUUGAGAUAAAAUCAUAAACAAAGAAGAGUUCUAGUUCUGAAAAAAAAAGAAAAAGAAAAAGAAAAAAGGGUCUUGCACAAAAAUGGAGGCUCAUAAAUCAAACUCCUUGCAAUGAUGUUCAAAAUCCUUUAUGAGAUUAGAAAGGUGAUUGAAUUCCACUGUCAUGCUAUGACUACCUUCAGUCGCUCCAAAUUCUUCAAUUGCUCUUUCCAUCAUUGCCACUGCUUUAUCCUUGCCCGAGUCCAGCCGAAAAAUGCAUUCGUUUAUAGUGUUGACCUCGUCGUUCAGUUUCACUUCCUUUGCUCGCGUUGCUGCGAGAGUCCUCUCUAAAUCCUCAACCUUUUGGCAUUGCUGAUCAACCUUCAAGAUACGAGCUGACGAAGAAUAAGAGGGAUGAGCUGCAACUUCUCGAAUAGCUUCUGCUUCCCUGAAUAACUUCUGGAGACGUGUAUUCAAGCCAAAGGUGUCGACCCCUAUACGGAACAGAAUCUCACAAUACUCGGUAAUUUUUACUUGGAUGACGGGAUAAGUGUGAUAACUGGAGGUCCUCACUAUCUCGAUCAAAUGAUCUAUCAAGGUGGGUCUACUUUCCUGUCCAAUGCCAUGGUCGGAAGAUAUUGGAUGACCUAUGCCACCACAUUCUUUCAAAAGCAUGUUCUUCGACGAAACGCCCACAGCCGCAAUAGGGUCAUCUCCAUUUACAGACUUAAUCUCCAAAUCUCUUGUUGUAGCUGUAUCAUCAACAUUAUCCUUGGACUCAUCUCUUAUUAGAGUGUGCGCGAAAACUGCCAUAUUUGUAUCUGAGACAUCUUCGUCGACCACCCACUAAAAAGGGGAAAAAGAGAGCAAAUCAGUCAUCAUUAUACUGGAAGCACAUGAGUGGUCUUCGUAUACAAGUCUUAUGAGAUUACCGUAUCUUGAGGCGAGUCCGAAUUAUCCUCACCAACCGAUAGAGUCGGUUCGUAGUCGACUUCAGGGUUAUAUCGAGAAGGGAUACUGUCUUCGAUCUCUGCAAAUAAAAAAAGGGGUAGUUAGGAGGCCUGCCCAUAUUUCAAGAUAUUCAAAAAAAAAAGGAAGCACCUCGUGGGGAAGCAAUGCCCUGAAGAUCCGCCACAAUAGCCCUUGCAUCAAUUAAGAGAUUAUGGUUACGACCUACAUGAGCAAACAUAAGUGAAUUAGUAAGAAAAAAAAGAGAGAGAGGAAAAAGAACGAAGAAGAAAGGCUCACCACCCUCUUCAAAAGAAGCAAGAACUAGAGGAGGCUCUACUUCAUUGCCAAUCAUGGGAGAAUAAGUAUUCUUGUUAAGAUGGUCUGUAAAAAAAAAAAAAGAAGGGAAGAAUAAAAAAAGAAAAAAGAAAAAAAAGAGAGAAUAAGGUUGGAUACCUCCAGAGGGGGUUGGUGAUGGCGGUUUCUCCUCAGGAAUCCACUUUGUAUGAAUUUGAGAUGCUUAAAAAAAAAAAGGAAAAAAAAAAGAAAAAGAGAGAUAUAAAUAAAUAAGAGAAAAGAGGAAGAAGAAAGGACAAUGCAUAUAAGUGCUUACCUUUUUCUCUUGUAAUGCUCGUUGUGGCCAUUGAUGCAUCAACACAGGGUCUUUUCAGGUCUCUGCGGCUCGAGUCUUCGGGAAGCCCUCUCUUUGCAGCGGUCUGAUCGUUUACUAUAUUAGGUUCGAAUCGAUUAUGCACAAGCAAAGAUGAAUUAGGGACGUUCGGGAUCUCGUGCGUCUACUGAAGAGAAAGAUAAGCAGAUUCUGCCAAGAGAUUUUGCUUAGCUGUAUGAGAAAAUGGACUUAUAUCACGAGCGCCACGUCGAGACUCCACAGGCAAAGACCUAGGAAUCGAUUCGUGAGUUUUCUUUGGGUUUAAUUCAUGCUCAACCAACGAAUCAAUUCCGGACGAGAAAUAAGGCUCUAACAUACUCCUCCACCAAAGAGCGUACAAACGUGUUGGUUUUCCAACACGAUUCGCAUCUGGAAUAAAAAAUCUAGUAAAAUGACAGACUCUUAUGAAGUGUGACCAAUAUCCUCUCAACGCACCAGCUGAAACAACAAUCCUAACUAUAUUGUCAGCAUCUCUAGCAUAGUGUUGAUCAAAACCAAAUUGGCGAGCAAACCUGUGAGGAUUGUAAGGUUGUGCAUGGAGUAUAUUUCCCAUACGAAGUGGUAUGAUGCUAUGACGGAUGGACAUAAGGUACUCCUUGAUGUUAUCUGGGAACUCCAUCAUCCCCACCCAAUUAAUUAUUUCAUGAACCCAACCUUCUUUGGAUGGAGCGAAUGGGAAUGAGCGCCAAACGAAUUUAUCCUGUUGCCAUAGAUGUAUCCUCGAUUUCCUUGCGUCCUGGUGAUGUCUUCUUGAAUUAUAAGAAGUAAUUCUCGCAUCUUUAAAUCGCAACAUUUCGGGGAUUUGCAUGCGAUUUAGCAUCCUUAUAUCCUCGGCAUCGAAUUUUACGCGGGUGCAAGUACCUCGGAAGUGAGAAUGAAUCCACGUUGCCAAAAAAUGAAUGGGGAAGCGGUAAUUAGAAUUGGAAGGCCCCCGCGGAUCAGAGGCCAUGUGACCUAAAGCCACUUGAAUUGAGCAUAACACUGCAGGAGCUAGAGCGACUUUGAGCCCCUCACCCAGUUUGGAGGCCAUAACAAAGACCUCUGGGCGAAUCGUAUCCCUUUGGCCUGAUGGCAUAAUGAAUUUGCAAAGCCACAAUGAUAAGAACGCAGCCCUGUAACCAUUGUCCCUGAUGGGUGGUCCAAUAGAAUGCUCAUCAUCGCUAAUCAAAUGUGGUCGAGAAGAAGACGCGAUAUCACCUCGAUACCAAUAAUCAAUCCAGUGAUUGUAAUAAACCGGACCCCCCUGGUUUCUGAUAGUAAGCCAUUCAUAUACUGUAAGCAAAGAAGUGAGACUAGCAGCAUAGAUAUCAAGAUCACAGUUUCUCGGUAUGAACUCUUCAUACAGCUCUCCGAGAAUAGGAAUGCCUCCUAAUAUCCUGAUAUCCCAAAGAGAAAUACCAAUCUCCCCAUAAGGAAAAUGAAAAGUAUUAGUCUCAGAACACCAAGCUUCUACUAAACCCUUGAGUAUUCUUGAGUCUAAUUCAUAUUUACCCCCAAAGGCGAUAAUUCCUCCGAGAAUAUCAGCUGAACAUAAUGUGGUUUUAAAUCGUUGGAUUAUGUCAUCCUUCCAUUCUGUAAGGCCAUUCAAGACAGUCCCGUCGCCCAGAAUUCGAAGACCCCGCCAACUAGGGCGACCCUGUAAAAUGCAGAGGCCCAAACAAUGCACGUCUUCUGCCCCGCUUGUAUUCCCUGUGGGUUCUAGUAAAACAAUAUUAUCCGAUCCGGUAUCGAUAAAAUAUCCUUGGGUGAAAUUGGCCAUCGCAGAAGAACGCAUAACUGCCUACUGGUUCAAUGGAGUCCCUUCGUAAAAAAUUUCUGGGCCACAGUCAAAAAGUGGACGAGCGCGAGAAGUAGGGGCUCCGAUAUAAGCAUAGCAUUCUUGAACGCUCUCCAUAGACAUCUAAAACAAAAGGAGGGAAGAGAGUUAAACUCUACGGCCAUAUAUAUANNNNNNNNNNNNNNNNNNNNNNNNNUUGUAUCUAUUAAGAAUUUUGCCGAAAUUGGAAUUGUAAGUAAUCGGCUCGGCGCGGUUUUGUUACCUUGUUUUCAGCAGGAUUGGGACCUCGUUGAGCUGAUUAUUGGGACAUCUUGUGACUGUUUUGAGCUUAGUAUGAGGUGGGUUUGACCUAACCAGAGCAAGUGGAGCUCCCUUAUGUUCUAUAUGUGCUAUAGAUUUAAUACAGUUAUAUAAUUCCGUGAUUGAUAUAGAACUUGAGACGAGUUACUAGAUUUUAGUGUUGAUCUAUAUAAUUGAAUUGAUAUCUCUAUGAAGUAGAGAACACUCAUGCAUAUAAGUCUUUAUAUACAUAUUUAAUUUGGUUGAGUGAUUAAUGGACAAGUUAUCAUGUUUCUAGAAAAUAGAAAACUAUGACAUCCUUAUGACACUUUCUUGACUCUAACGUAGAGAAUGACGACAUGCUUAUGCUUAUGCUUAUACUGCCAGAUGUAAAGUAGCAUUACUCUUGCAUGUUUAUUAAUCUAGUGGAUACUAGCUGUUAUCAAUACUUGUUAUAGUGAGAUUCCGAUCUAAGGAUCGAGAGCAAGAACAAUGUCAGUUGGAAAGUGAUGAGUGAGACGUAUUGAGCUUUAGAUUUGCUUGCUGCCAUUGUGUUCAUUCGCACACUCUUGUGAGGGUCGCUCCCUACAAGCCGGCACUCCGGAGUUGGCCUACGCGACAGUUGCUCGCCCGUGCGGGAUUGGGUGCCGAAAUGGAUUGCCGUGGGGGAGUGUAUACUACCACGGGGCCAUUAUGCGCGGCGCAAGUUGGACUACCUUGGGUAGAUUCUUAUGAAUGAAAAGGAAGUACCAAAUGACAAGGACAGUAAUGAAUACUCCACAGUUAUAGUGUACAGUAUUUACUUACACAUCCAUAUUCAUGCUUGUGUUUAUAGUAGUUUAUAGUAGUUGCUAUGCUUCUAUUACUCAACUGAUUCAUUACUGCAGAAAUCAUGAUUACAUGUGAUUACAUGCCUAUUGCCUGUUAGCAUUGCAUAUUUAUAUCAUGUAGUUAUCACUUUUACUUUCAUUUAGUACAUCUUGAGCCUAGUGGUGUAAUUCGCCGAGACUAGCGACUUACCCACUGGGAACUAUUGUUAAUAGUUCUCACGCCCUUUUUAUUGUUUUUUUUUUACAGAGCCAUCUACAGGAGAGGCUAGGGACCGUGGCAAGGGAGUCGCGUCUAGCUAGACAUUGCUAGGAGCAUGCUAGUCGAUCACCUUGCUACUCGGGUUACGGCCGAGGGUGAUGUCCAGUUUAUAGAGAGACUACCAUUGUACAGAUAUUUUGUGUACCCUGUGUUGUAUAUAUAUUUUGAAUCCAGAUGUGGCAGUUUUAGUACUUUCUUUUGUACCUAUAUUUUGAGUUGGACAUUCUCGUUCUUUUGUUGAUAGUCUUUGUGACUUUUACUAUACUCUGAUAUCAGGAUAGGAUUAUGUUAUGUUUUUACUCCUAUCGACUUGUUUCUUGUAGACGCCUUAUAUACUGCAGGUAUAUGGCGGGUCUGUGCACGUACCGGAUAUGCUUCCGCUGGUACCCGGGCGUGACAGAUUAUAGUGGUAUCAGAGCCUAGGGUUGAGUCUUAGUAGACCUCGUAAACCUUAGGCUGGUUGGACUAUAAGAAUAGGCUCGUGAGAGACAAGGUCUAGUCGAGGUUGUUGUUAGCAAAAGUAUUUUGAUUGGGUACUUAUAAACUCCGAAUGGUAGGAGUUUGAUCGGAAUGUGCACUUACUAACUUUGCAGAGAGCCACGUUGGCGGCCGACAACGUGACAUCGGAAGUUAGUACGCGUUAUAUUUCAUUACUUUCGCUUAAUUAGUUGGUUUAUAUCCUCUAAGAGGGUUCAAUAGUAUAGGGUUUAUUAACCUAUGUUUGUUUUUGUGUUGCAGUUCAAGAUGCCUACGACUCGUUCUGGAACUGCCGGGGCGGCUGAGGCAGCCGCUGCGGAAGAAGUUGAGACUUCCGUCACUUCGGGGUCCAGUGAGCUCCAUGAGUUGCAGGAUCAGCUUGCGACGUUGACAGAGUUGGUUACUCAGCAGGCCGCGGCAGCACGACAGCAGAUGGACGCUGCGCGUCGGCAGGAGGACAGGAUGAAGAGGUUAGAGGAUCUGUUACUGCGGCAGACGACCGACAGAGAGAUUCCAGNNNNNNNNNNNNNNNNNNNNNNNNNNNNNNNNNNNNNNNNNNNNNNNNNNNNNNNNNNNNNNNNNNNNNNNNNNNNNNNNNNNNNNNNNNNNNNNNNNNNNNNNNNNNNNNNNNNNNNNNNNNNNNNNNNNNNNNNNNNNNNNNNNNNNNNNNNNNNNNNNNNNNNNNNNNNNNNNNNNNNNNNNNNNNNNNNNNNNNNNNNNNNNNNNNNNNNNNNNNNNNNNNNNNNNNNNNNNNNNNNNNNNNNNNNNNNNNNNNNNNNNNNNNNNNNNNNNNNNNNNNNNNNNNNNNNNNNNNNNNNNNNNNNNNNNNNNNNNNNNNNNNNNNNNNNNNNNNNNNNNNNNNNNNNNNNNNNNNNNNNNNNNNNNNNNNNNNNNNNNNNNNNNNNNNNNNNNNNNNNNNNNNNNNNNNNNNNNNNNNNNNNNNNNNNNNNNNNNNNNNNNNNNNNNNNNNNNNNNNNNNNNNNNNNNNNNNNNNNNNNNNNNNNNNNNNNNNNNNNNNNNNNNNNNNNNNNNNNNNNNNNNNNNNNNNNNNNNNNNNNNNNNNNNNNNNNNNNNNNNNNNNNNNNNNNNNNNNNNNNNNAAAGGCGAUAAUUCCUCCAAGAAUAUCAGCUGAACAUAAUGUGGUUUUGAAUCGUCGGAUUAUGUCAUUCUUCCAUUCUGUAAGGCCGUUCAAGACAGUCCCGUCGCCCAGAAUUCAAAGACCCCACCAACUAGGGCGACCCUGUAAAAUGCAGAGGCCCAAGCAAUGCACGUCCUCCGCCCCACUUGUAUUUCCCGUGGGUUCUAGUAAAACGACAUUAUCUGAUCCGACAUCGAGAAAGUAUCCUUGGGUGAAAUUAGCCAUUGCAGAAGAACGCAUAACUGCCCACUGGUUCAAUGGAGUCCCUUCGUAAGAAAUUUCUGGACCACAGUCAAAAAGCGGACGAGCGUGAGAAGUAGGGGCUCCGACAUAAGCAUAGCAUUCUUGAACGCUCUCCAUAGACGUCUAAAACAAAAAGAAAAAAAAAAUAACUCUACAGCCAUAUAUAUUGUCGGAGGUUCAAAAAAAAAAAGGAAAGAAAAAGAUCGAGUUAAAUAAAAAAAAAGAUCAGGUUCUAAAAAAAAAAAGAUCUGGGUAAAAAAAAAGAAAAAAAGAAAGAGAGACCGGGUUAAAAGAAAAAAAAAAAAAAAUCCACGUGCAAAAAAAAGAGAAGAAAAAAAACACACCUUUCUCUUGCUCUCAAAUGGUUCACAAUCGAAAGGUGGGGAGCACUUUGUUCGAGUCAAAAAAAAUAAGGAAAAAGAUACAUACAUACAUAUAUAUAUAUAUAUAUAUUAAAAGAAAAAGAAAAAAGAAAAGUAUUCAAAAUAAAGGUAUAAUUAGUUGAUUGAUGCUUGUUUCUUCAAUAGGUUGAUUUUUUUUUAAAUCAUUCCCAAAUGGGAAUCACCUUGGAACCUUAUAUAAAAUAAGCUCCAAAUUUUGAAAAUGGGUUGGAGAGAAUUUUUUUGAGAAGAAGAAAGAGAGGAGAAUAUCCGAAAGGAGAGGAAAGAAAAAAUAAAAAAAAAUAGAAAGGAGAAGAAAAAAAAAAGGUAAACAAAAAAAAGAAAGAGUUUUAUUUUUAUUCUCUCUCCUUCUCUUUCUCUCUCUCUUUCUCUGGUACGUGCACAAAGGGCGGCCCUUGUUGGGCAUGCUGGUAGAGGGGUGCCAUGUGCACCCCUCCUUUGCCCGUACACAGCACAAAAAAAAAGGGGUAUCGGCUCUCGCAUUCGACGACAACAGUGACAACGACAAUCGGGACGAUUUUUAUAAUAAUAGAAGAUACGCAUGCAUAUGCAUAGCGUAAGUGUGAUCUUUUUGUUGGUUUGAUCAACCCGACCAUCUUCGCGAUCAGUUUCGAACCGAUUAAAUCUGACAUCAAACCGUCACUUCCGCCGUGCGUAUGUAUUGUUACUCUCCAAACCGUGCGACUAUCUUCAUGAUAGGCUCGACAUGGUCAAAAUGAUUGAUCGAACCGGACGUUUUAUUACGUAAACCGUGCGGCUAUUUUCGUGAUAGGCUCGACAUGGUCGAAAGCGUGAACCGUGCGGCCAUCUUCGUGAUAGGCUCGACAUGGUCAAAAAGAUUAAUCGAGCGCCCAUCUUUGUGAUAGGCUCGACACGAUUAAACUCCACAUAUUUGAACAAAACGUGACAAUAAAAGAAAAUGGACGGGUUCUAUUUUGAUUCGUCAUUUUCGUUCGAUUUAAUCGUUUUACUCGACAUGAUCAAUUUCGUAUAUUUGGACUAAAAAAAAAAAAGAGAGAUGAAUAUAAAAAUAAUAAAAAAAAGGAGUUAUCCCCUCUCCCCCUUCGACAAUCGUAAGAAGAAAAGAAAAGAGAAGAAAGAAAAGAAAGAAAAAAAAAAUAAAAAAAAAGAGUUGUUGGGUACCAACUCUCACUCUCUCUCAGUUUCGCACACACACACAGAAAGAGAGAUGGGUCUCUCUCUCUCUUCUGGAAGUCAAAAAAAAAAAAAAAAAAAAAAAAAAAUGAGACCUUUUGUGCGCGGUGGUGGUGGUGGUCACCGUUACGAGCCUAUAGCGACCGAAUCCCAAGCAUGUAACCCUCCACAAGGCAAGGCACCAUGGAAACAGAAACAAAGCAAACGAUCGAUUCCCACUUUCUUUUGCGACAAACCACACACAACACACCAAUCAAUUCGAAACCCCACCCCCGAGUAAGUUUCUUCCAGAACCUUCAAUGAUGUAACCGCAAAAGAGAUCCCAAAAAAAAAAAAUAAAAAAAAAGGAAAAAGAAGUGAUGGACGACUACAUGCAGAAGGAGACUUGAAAACAUGCGGAUCCAAAAGCGGCGCCGGCGGCAACCGCCACCGCCGCCGGCAGCGCCGCUGCCGGGGGAGGCGGCGGUUCGGUGCGGUUUGGGACAUGACCACAUGAGAAUCAAGGGACCGGCGUUCGGUGGCCGUGAUCAGAUAAUGCCAACUCUAGUAAAUAAACAGUUACGCUGACAAAAUCAGAAAAACCUUGUAAGUGAAUAGUUUCGCGAAUUGUUCGCAGAAUGAUGCUUCCGAAAGCGAGCACCACGAGCUAAGUUGAUCGCGUAGUUUCCUAUAUGCUUGUCUUCUGCUUCUCGUGUAAAAUAGCUGCUUUUGAAGCACAGCGCAAGUGUUCAGGAGCUUUUUUAUUCUUCUUCCUUGNCACAAAUAAAAAUCCCAAAACCCAAAGUCCACAAAUAAAAUCCUAAACCCAAAGUUCACAAACAAACUCCCAAAAAAUCCAAAGUCCACAAAUAAAGAUCCAAAACCCAAAGAUCCAAAAUCCAAAGUCCAUAAAUAAAACCCAAUCAAAUCUACCAAGCCUAUGUCAUCAAAAUACCUCUAACCCAAACCGAAUUCAUGGGCUUUCCAAAUGGGCCCUUUAUUAUGAAUUAACCCUAUGAAUUAAUUUCCUAGGUUUUCCAAAUGACCACUUAUCAUAAAUUAAUUCUACGAAUUAAUUUCAUGGGUUUGCAAAAAUAGGCCCCCUUAUCAUAAAUUAAUUUUAUGAAUUAAUUUUAUGGGCCCUUCUUGUCAUAAAUUAAUUUCAUGAACUAACGGGCCUUCCAAAUGAUUCUUUGUCAUAAAUUAAUUUUGUAAACCCAAUUCAAUGGACUUUCCAAAUGGCCCCUAUCAUGAAUUAAUUUCAUCAAUUAAUUCAAUAGACUUUACAAACAGGCUCCCAGCAUGAAUUAAUUUCAUGAAUCAGCUUCAUGAACAUCUCGAUUUUAAACCCAAAUUCAAACGACCGAAACGUCGCUAAACUAAACCCAUAUGCAAACGACCGAAACGUCGUUAAACUAAACACAAAUUCAAACGACCGAAACGUCGCUAAACUAAACCCAAACCAAACGACCGAAACGUCGUUAAACUAAACCCAACGACCGAAAUGUCGGUAAACUAAACCCAACGACCGGAACGUCGUUAAACUAAACCCAACGAUCGGAACGUCGUUAAACUAAACCCAACGACCGGAACGUCGUUAAACUAAACCCAACGACCAAAGCGUCGUUAAACUAAACCCAACGACCGAAGCGUCGUUAAACUAAACCCAACGACCGAAACGUUGUUAAACUAAACCGAACGACCGGAACGUCGUUAAACUAAACAGAACGACCGAAACGUCGCUAAACUAAUCCAAACGACCGAAACGUCGCUAAACUAAACCCAUAUUCAGACGACCAAAACGUCGUUAAACUAAACCCAAAUCCAAACGACCGAAACGUCGUUAAACUAUACCCAAAUCCAAACGACCGAAACGUCGUUAAACUAAACCCAAAUCCAAACGACCGAAACGUCAUUAAACUAAACCCAAACUCAAACGACCGAAACGUCGUUAAACUAAACCCAAAUUCAAACGACCGAAAUGUCGUUAAACUAAACCCAAUGACCGAAACGUCGUUAAACUAAACCGAACGACCGAAAUGUCGUUAAACUAAACCCAACGACCGAAACGUCGGUAAACUAAAGCCAACGACCGAAAUGUCGUUAAAAUAAACCCAAUGACCGAAACGUCGUUAAACUAAACCAAAUGACCGAAAUGUCGUUAAACUAAACCCAACGACCGAAACGUCGUUAAACUAAACCCAAAUCCAAACGACCAAAACGUCGCUAAACUAAACCCAUAUUCAGACGACCGAAAUGUCGCUAAACUAAACCCGAAUCCAAACGACCGAAAUGUCGCUAAACUAAACCCAUAUUCAAACGACCGAAACGUCGUUAAACUAAACCCAAAUUCAAACGACCGAAUCGUCGCUAAACUAAACUCAAACCAAACGACCGAAACGUCGUUAAACUAAACCCAACGACCGAAACGUCGGUAAACUAAACCCAACGACCGAAACGUCGUUAAACUAACCCAACGACCGAAACGUCGUUAAACUAAAUCCAACGACCGAAACGUCGGUAAACUAAACCCAACGAUCGAAAUGUCGUUAAACUAAACCAAAUGACCGAAACGUCGGUAAACUAAACCCAACGACCGAAAUGUCGUUAAACUAAAUCUAACGACCGAAACGUCGGUAAACUAAACCCAACGACCGAAACAUUGUUAAAUUAAACCCAACGACCGAAACGUCGUUAAACUAAACGUAAACCCAACGACCGAAACGUCGCUAAGCUAAACCCAAAUUCAAACGACCGAAAAGUCGUUAAACUAAACCCAAAACUUCAAUCCACUACCAAGUUGCUAAAUUGAGUACCUAGUCUUAUAAAAUUAUGUGCGGUGGAGAAAUGCCCUUAUCUAAGCCAUGUACACGGCAGAUUAUAUUAAUAAAAUUUUAUUUGCCUGUUUU